AUGGGGCGUCCUUACUCCCAGUCUUUCCAGAUGUUCUUCCCACUCCUCAACUGCUCCUGGCUCAGAAACCCUGCACACCUGGAAGAAAGUGAGAACCAGUUUUUCAACAAACACAUUGCACAGACUUAUUGUGAACCCCGGGUGGAAUCAAGCAUCGGAGGAAGAGAACGUGGGUCUUGCUGUGUCCCUAGGCUGGAGUGCAGUGGUGCAGUCUCAAUUAUGCCAGAUGGCUCUGAGGUCCAAGUAAAAGAUAAUAUUUGCAACCAACUCACUGGAGUUGACCAUCAAAACUCUUUUCCAGGCACACUCAGGCAUCGCAGAAAAUAAUAUGUAUUGUGGAAUCCCUCACUUGAUGAAUAAUCUAGAUGAUCAGAAAUGUGGCACUAUUUUGGCUUUCAGGUGGAAAAGCACCCUGAAUCCAGCUUCCUGCUAUGAAUGAAUACUGAGCUUGGGUUGGUGGAAAUUGAUUUUCGAGAUAAAGAAUCCAGCCAGGACUGUGAAGCCCCAGGGAAUGGCUGCACUUCAAGUCAGAAGGAGCCUGGGUCCCUGAAUCAUCAUGUGGAAGGCUCUCCACCCAGUUCAAUGGUGCAAUGGACCACAAGCAGGAACUUAAUUUAGAAUGUGCUUAUUUUGUUAGAUUUUGUAAUUAAAAAAUGGAUCCCACUCUGACUGAAAA
rnacentral:lncRNA from 1 species